rnacentral:lncRNA from 1 species
UUCAAGGCCAUAAGAAAAGGGGUAACUGGAGCAGUGAUUUUGAGAGCAAUCCAUGCAUUUUCAAGAAGGAAGGCACAGAGACAGGGGUGACCAGUGCUGUCUAAACAGCAUGACGUCGAGGCUAGGAAUCCCAACUUUGCCAUCAGACACAUUUUGGUUUGAACCCGGUCGCCGCUACUUUCUGGUGUGAUCCCAGAGACGUCACCUACCCUCGUGUGUAGGGAGAGAUGGUAAAUGCUCCUGGUCAGAGGGCUGCUCUGAAGACUCAACAGGACAACGAUGUGAAAAGGGUGGCACCGUGCCUGGCACACAAUAAGGACUUAGCAAGUUAAUUUAGCAACGAGAAUGCAAGCAAAAGCGGCCUGUGGCUGAGGGAGAGGGAUUUGCCUCCCGAUGGUCUGCCCCAUUGGCCACCGUCAUACUGAUGGCAGACCCAGCGGAAGCGCGG